rnacentral:rRNA from 1 species
CCUACGGGUGGCAGCAGUGAGGAAUAUUGGUCAAUGGCCGGAAGGCUGAACCAGCCAUGCCGCGUGAAGGUCAGUGCCCUAUGGGCGUUAAACUUCUUUUGUGCGGGAGCAAUAAUGGUCACGUGUGCCCAGACGAGAGUACCGUACGAAUAAGCAUCGGCUAACUCCGUGCCAGCAGCCGCGGUAAUACGGGGGAUGCAAGCGUUAUCCGGAUUUAUUGGGUUUAAAGGGUGCGUAGGCUGUGAGGUAAGUCAGCGGUGAAAUGCCCCCGCUCAACGGGGUGAAGUGCCAUUGAUACUGCCUUGCUGGAAUGCGGAUGCCGUGGGAGGAAUGUGUGGUGUAGCGGUGAAAUGCAUAGAUAUCACACAGAACACCGAUUGCGAAGGCAUCAUACCGGCGCUCAACUGACGCUCAUGCACGAAAGUGUGGGUAUCGAACAGGAUUAGAUACCCCUGUAGUC